CAAGCAAGCCGGGUGGCCGCCCUUUUCUCGACCUAAGCCUGGGGCUCAGGUCGAGAAUUCGGGGAGGAAAGUCCGAGCUCCACCGGGCAGGAUGCUGGGUAACACCCAGGAGGGGCGACCCUACGGAAAGUGCCACAGAAACAUACCGCCCCCGACCUAACCCCAAGCCUGAGUUAGGUCGGGGGUAAGGGUGAAAUGGUGAGGUAAGAGCUCACCGGCGGCUGGGUGACCAGCCGGCCGGGCAAACCCCAUCCGGAGCAAGGCCGAAUAGGAGGACGCUAGAGGACGCCCGGCCGAAGUCCUCGGGUAGGCCGCUGGAGGUGGCGGGCAACCGUCACCCUAGAUAGAUGGUCACCACCCCGGGCUGGGCAACUGGCCCAGGGACAGAACUCGGCUUAUAGGCUUACUUGGCCC
rnacentral:RNase_P_RNA from 1 species